UGGGGAAUAUUGGACAAUGGGCGAAAGCCUGAUCCAGCAAUGCCGCGUGAGUGAUGAAGGCCUUAGGGUUGUAAAGCUCUUUUACCCGGGAUGAUAAUGACAGUACCGGGAGAAUAAGCUCCGGCUAACUCCGUGCCAGCAGCCGCGGUAAUACGGAGGGAGCUAGCGUUAUUCGGAAUUACUGGGCGUAAAGCGCACGUAGGCGGCUUUGUAAGUUAGAGGUGAAAGCCUGGAGCUCAACUCCAGAAUUGCCUUUAAGACUGCAUCGCUUGAAUCCAGGAGAGGUGAGUGGAAUUCCGAGUGUAGAGGUGAAAUUCGUAGAUAUUCGGAAGAACACCAGUGGCGAAGGCGGCUCACUGGACUGGUAUUGACGCUGAGGUGCGAAAGCGUGGGGAGCAAACAG
rnacentral:rRNA from 1 species